rnacentral:rRNA from 1 species
GAUGAACGCUGGCGGCGUGCUUAACACAUGCAAGUCGAACGGAAAGGCUCCUGCUUGCAGGGGUACUCGAGUGGCGAACGGGUGAGUAACACGUGGGUGAUCUGCCCUGCACUUCGGGAUAAGCCUGGGAAACUGGGUCUAAUACCGGAUAGGACCACAUUUUGGAUGGUGUGGUGGAAAGUUUUUCGGUGUGGGAUGAGCUCGCGGCCUAUCAGCUUGUUGGUGGGGUAAUGGCCUACCAAGGCGUCGACGGGUAGCCGGCCUGAGAGGGUGUACGGCCACAUUGGGACUGAGAUACGGCCCAGACUCCUACGGGAGGCAGCAGUGGGGAAUAUUGCACAAUGGGCGCAAGCCGGAUGCAGCGACGCCGCGUGGGGGAUGACGGCCUUCGGGUUGUAAACUCCUUUCGCUAGGGACGAAGCGCAAGUGACGGUACCUGGAGAAGAAGCACCGGCUAACUACGUG